rnacentral:rRNA from 1 species
UACAGAGGUCCCGAGCGUUGUUCGGAUUCACUGGGCGUAAAGGGUGCGUAGGUGGCCGGGUAAGUUUGGUGUGAAAGCUCGGAGCUUAACUCCGAAAAGGCAUUGAAUACUAUCCGGCUUGAGGGUUGGAGGGGAGACUGGAAUUCUCGGUGUAGCAGUGAAAUGCGUAGAUAUCGAGAGGAACACCAGUGGCGAAGGCGAGUCUCUGGACAACCCCUGACACUGAGGCACGAAAGCUAGGGGAGCAAACAGG